UAUCAAUUUCGUUAUUGAACAAGGUACAAACGGCAACAGAAAGAAAACAAAACAUGAAUUUUCACAUGAGUUGAAACUAACAAUAGCAGGACCUUCAUUGAUCACAGAUUUCAUUGAAAACAGCUGUUUCAGCUCAACGAGUGAAGAAUCUAAGGAAAACACAUUUCAUUUCUUGUUUUACAUAGCAGAAAGAGAGCAAAUUUGGCGCAAAAGGAAGGCCUCUCAAUAGCUCUUUUGUUUGGUAAAAGCAAUGGAUGCGAAGCCUAAGAGGAGAACUGCUGUAGAGAAUGGGGAUGGAGGAGAGGACUUGGUGCUUGCAACUUUGAUUGGCAAUGGAGAGGAUUUGGGUCCAAUUGUCAGGCAUGCAUUUGAAAUGGGGCGGCCUGAAUCGCUGUUUCAUCAGCUCAAGUCUGUUGUGAGGAAGAAGGAAGUUGAAAUCGAGGAGCUGUGCAAGAGCCAUUACGAGGAAUUCAUUCUUGCGGUUGAUGAACUUCGUGGUGUAUUGGUUGAUGCUGAAGAGUUAAAAAGUGAGCUUGCGAGUGAGAAUUUUCGAUUGCAAGAAGUUGGGAGUGCUCUUUUGGUCAAACUUGAGGAGCUUCUUGAAUCUUAUUGGAUUAAGAAGAAUGUGACUGAAGCUAUCAAAACAUCGAAGAUAUGCAUACAAGUUUUGGAACUCUGUGUGAAGUCUAACAACCACAUGUUGGAAAGCCAAUUUUACCCAGCGUUGAAAACAGUGGAUCUGAUCGAGAGGACUUACUUGCAGAACAUCCCUGUGAAGGCACUUAAAACGGCCAUAGGGAAGACAAUUCCAGUAAUAAAAUCGCAUAUUGAGAAGAAAGUUACCAGUCAAUUUAAUGAAUGGCUAGUUCAAGUGAGGAGUUCUGCUAAGGAUAUUGGACAGACAGCAAUAGGCCAUACUUUGUCAGCUCGUCAAAGAGAUGAGGAAAUGCUGGAACAUCAGAGAAAAGCCGAAGAACAAAACAUUUCAGGGUUAGGAGAUUUUGUAUAUACUCUGGAUGUUGAGGAAAAUGAUGAAGAUUCAGUUGUGAAGUUUGAUCUCACUCCUCUUUUCCGGGUGUAUCAUAUUCAUGAUUGCCUUGGAAUCCAAGAGCAGUUUCGUGAAUACUACUAUAAGAAUCGGUUAUUGCAACUCAAUUCAGACUUGCAAAUCUCUACUACUCAGCCAUUUGUUGAAUCUUAUCAAACAUAUUUGGCCCAAAUUGCUGGUUACUUCAUAGUGGAGGAUCGGGUCUUAAGAACUGCUGGGGAUCUUUUGUCAGCAAAUCAUGUUGAGACAAUGUGGGAAGUGGCUGUGGCUAAAAUGACAUCUGUUCUGGAGGAACAGUUUUCCCAUAUGGAUUCUGCAACUCAUCUUCUGCUGGUGAAGGAUUAUGUCACUCUUCUUGGGGAAACUUUUAGACAAUAUGGGUACGAAGUUGGCCAAAUUCUCGAGGUAGUCGAUCGUAGCCGAGAUAAGUAUCAUGAGCUUCUUUUGGGAGAAUGUCAUGAGCAAAUUGUCAAUACUCUUGGAAGUGACACCUAUGAGCAGAUGGUAAUGAGAAAGGAUGCUGAUUAUGAGAAUAAUGUCCUCUCCUUUCAUCUUCAAACCUCAGAUAUAAUGCCGGCUUUCCCAUAUUAUGCACCAUUCUCCUCCAUGGUACCUGAUACUUGCCGCAUUGUUAGAUCUUUCAUCAAAGGUUCUGUUGAUUACUUAUCUUAUGGGGUGCAUACUAAUUUUUAUGACAUUGUGAGAAAAUACUUGGACAAGCUCUUGAUUGAUGUGCUAAAUGAAGUGAUGCUUAGCACGAUCCAUGGGGGUGCAGUUGGUGUGUCUCAAGCCAUGCAGAUUGCUGCAAACAUAUCUGUUCUUGAGAGAGCUUGUGAUUUUUUUCUUCGAUAUGCAGCCCAACUAUGCGGAAUCCCGAUCCGAUCAGUUGAGAGGCCUCAAGCUAGUUUGACAGCCAAGGUGGUCCUGAAAACUUCAAGGGAUGCAGCUUAUCUUGCUCUGCUGAAUUUGGUGAACACCAAGUUAGAUGAAUUCAUGAAUAUUACAGAAAAUAUCAAUUGGACUUCAGAGGAAACGCCACAAAAUGGGAAUGACUAUAUAAAUGAGGCGGUUAUUUACCUGGAUACUAUUUUGUCAACUGCACAACAAAUUCUUCCAUUGGAUGCUCUACACAAAGUUGGGAGUGGUGCCCUCGAGCACAUUUCCAAUUCCAUUGUCGGAGCAUUUCUUAGUGAUAGCGUAAGGAGGUUCAAUGCUAAUGCAGUCCUAUCUCUCAACAAUGAUUUGAAGAUUAUAGAGGAUUUUGCUGAUGAGAGGUUUCAUAGCACCGGCCUGAGUGAAAUAUACAAGGAAGGUAGUUUUAGAGGCUGCUUGUUAGAAGCACGACAGUUGAUUAACCUUUUGUCAAGCAGCCAGCCAGAGAACUUCAUGAAUCCUGUGAUAAGGCAGAAAAACUAUGAUGCUCUGGAUUAUAAAAACGUGGCCAGCAUCUGUGAUAAAUUCAAGGAUUCCCAUGAUGGAAUCUUUGGUAGCCUCUCAACCAGAAAUACUAAGCAAAGUGCACGGAAGAAAUCAAUGGACAUGCUGAAGAAAAGAUUGAAGGACUUCAAUUGAGAAGGCUAUAGAUUCCGCGUGCAUCAGAAUUUGUUUGCAGGAGGAAAGAAUGGCUACUGAUGCUUUAUUUAUGGCACUACUGGCUCUUCAUCAUUCAUCGGAGAUCUCUAAAUAAAGUACUUCCAGAUUCUAUAUAUGGUAGAAAGCAUAAAAGCAAUACACAAGUGGUUUGCAUGCUAAUUGCUAAAGGAAGUUUGCGAACAAUCUUCUGCCGAACAUGAGUUGAGUUGGUGCCACACCUUCUUAUACUUAAAGUGGAUCUUCUCAGGGCCAUUAUAAUGUUUGAAAGAGUAACUGAAGGUACUGCUCACCGCUUUCUCUCUGCUUGUUAUGGAAGACUUAUUCAUUUUGUUCUAGUGCAGACAGUGUUUGAUACAUAGUUUAUCAGAUUCUUCGAAUCUCGCACAUUUUGCUAUCCAGAUCAUACGUUCUUGAUCAUAAUAGGCACCACAUUUUAUUAUUUUGCAUAAUGAUCAGUUGAAGACUAUGAAAACUAGGAAAAACUGCCUGAAACAAGCUCACAGCAUACAUAGAUUCCUGAUUCUAUCUUGGACUGCAACUUAUAACUUGCGAUACAGAUCAGUUAUUCCCAACAUUAACGUUUUUAAUUUGUUUAAUUUCUUGCAACAAUACAAACAAGACAAUUCUAACAUCCCGAAAAACCAGACAGCAAUAUAUGAAGUUCAAGUCCAGGGAGUCAAACCCCCUUCUCUUUACAUUUUUUUUAUUCGUGAAUAAAUAAAUAUUUUUACCACAAUGGUAAUGAUAAAUCUAUAAUAAUCUAUUUUUCAAAAUAAUAAAUUUAUUUGAAGGUGUCUCCAAAGGGACAAUCCCACUGUUUGGAACGCGAGCAUUUUCUUUUUCAGGUUCCAGGUUUGAAUCUCAAGAGAAAUGGAGCAGAGAUUCAGGGAAGGAGGAAGGCAAGCAGUGCCCCAAUUGGAUAGCUCAAAAUGCCUUCGGAUGAAAAACAACUUACUUGAAGGAGCGUGGAUUCAUUUGAAAUUAAAAAAAAAAAAAUCCAAUUUUUACCUUCACCUACUGUAGCAGCAUGUGACAUUGUAGCGGCGGUUGUUUUUUAAAGCUCAGAAAUACAUGAGAAUUAUAUA